rnacentral:misc_RNA from 1 species
AGGGAAGAAUUAUGUUAUUGUUGAUUAGCAUAAAUCCCACUUUGAACGCCCUGUUUUGAUUAGCUUAACAAGCUUGAGUUGGACAUUACCUAUGAGCACUGAAUUUGUAGGGAAUUUUAGGUUUUAUCCUUUAUAAUUGUGAUACAUAAUGAAAAUUACACCAGCUUUUACAAUUGGAUACUUCGCUUCUAGCAUUUGAAAUUUUCACUGGGAGAGUUAUGAUUUCUUUGCUAUCCCAUAAUGUAUUUCGACCCAUUUAACUUUAUUCUCUCCCAAUAAAAAAAGCUUGCAAGACUACUAAAAUUGGAGAUGGUGGGAGUGGAUACAUCAUAAAUUAGAG